rnacentral:lncRNA from 1 species
GCGGUACGGACUGCUGCCACGACGGGGUUUCCCAUCUCCUUGAUCCUUGAUCUUAGCUUAUUGUCGUGAUAGUCGAAAUCUGUGUGACGGUGGCCUUAAUGUUGGCCUUUUUUCCUCCAUGCUCGCGUUGGUUUGACGGUGGCCUAGAUUGGUGUUGAUGUUAAUUGUUAGGAUGACAAGAAAGAUCUUGGGUUUAUUUUCUGCCAUGUCAAAGGUAGUUUUUGAAGGAAAGGAACCAUCAGAAGUUCAUAUGUGGUUCUCCUUUUUAUGUGAAUUUGGCGUAUUACCAACUAGCGGUGGAUAAGCAAUGUAGUUGAGGAUAGAUAUAACUUCUGUGGAUUUCUUUUCUCAUUUUGAUGAUAUUAGGCUGUGAAUAUGGAAGUUCUAAUGCAUAUGUGUAGGAUUCUUUCAUAUGUGAACUUGUGCUGAAUACAACUCUCAUAAAGCAGAGCCCGUUAGUACCGUUAAAAGAACAGUGGAGAGUUAAGCAUGGUAAAAUUAAAAACUGAGAGCCUUUUUACUGUCAACUUUUGAAGCCUAUCGUAUCAUUUUAUGUUAUGAAAUAAAGUUUUCUUCUUUAGAAC